AAUCGAAACGCCGUCUCGCUUGUGCAGAACAAGGCCACGCCACGCGAUCCACCAGCCAACUGCCACACCGUGUCUCGUCUUCCCCAUCUGCGCCGCCCGCCCCCGAGGACCCAGGCGGCGAGAGAUGGAGUCGCCGUUCCGGGCGGACGUGCUGAGGGGCAAGGCGGCGCUGGUCACGGGCGGGGGCUCCGGCAUCGGCUUCGAGAUCGCCACCCAGCUCGCGCGCCACGGCGCGCAGGUCGCCCUCAUGGGCCGCCGCCGCGAGGUCCUCGACAAGGCCGUCGCCGCGCUCCGGUCCGAGGGCCUCAGGGCUGUUGCUUUCGAUGGAGAUGUCCGCAAGCAAGAGGAUGCUGCCAGGGUGCUUGCAGCAACCGUUGAGCAUUUCGGCAAGCUGGACAUCCUUGUCAACGGUGCAGCCGGCAAUUUCCUUGCUUCCCCGGAGGAUUUGAAGCCCAAGGGAUUCCGAACCGGUACUUCAUCAUAGUGCACCCUUGUUUGAUUCCAUGAUGCUCUUGUUCCAAACUUGUGCACAAUAUCAUCAGUAUACUGAAUCUUACUAGUUUGCUUAAUCGUACUAGCCUGUUCCUCAAAAACUUAUGUGCCAUUAAGCUGUUUGUUGUACUUCGUACUUAUUAUUCUACUGUUUCAGGGAAGUGAGUGUUGACAACAUUUUCUUGCUGCAGUUCUUGACAUUGAUACUGUGGGUACAUACACAAUCUCUCAAUAUGAUUCCUGCAACAAAAGCGGGCACCCGAGAGUGCCACAUCACCCGCUAAAUUGCUAGCCGUCGGAUCAAGCCAAGGAGCCACGUGAACCGUCCGAUACGGUUAGAGGGUCUCUCACCCAUUAAGCGAAGAAUCGGGCGCUCCAGAGUAUUCGCGAAACCUCUCCGUCUUCAGCCCUCUGCCCCGCCCAGCGAUGGCGUUCGUCCCCGCCGUGUCGCAGCGUAAACAGGACCACCGGCUCUCCCGCUUCGCCACCGGCCUCGACGUCCGCAUUGGCGCAUCCUCAUCUCCGCGCGCUCCGCAGGUCCGUCGUGGCGGGCGCCCGCGUUCUCCGAAGUCCGACCUGGAGCUCGAGCCCACACUCGUCGGCAGAGAUCCUCCCCACUGGCCGGAAUCGGCGCUGCGAGCCCGUUCCCUUGCUUCUCUAAUCGUAAGGUUCCGGCCGGCCUCGGGACCGCGUCGGCCAGGAGCAGCUCGCUGGCGGCGGCGGCCGCCACCAUGGCUGCCCUUGGGCGGAGUGACGCCUCCUGGAUGGCCGACAGCAGUCUGCGGUGCGAGGGUUGCGGCGCAGCUACGCGAGAACUGCGAGGACAGGUGGCGGCGUGGAGCAGCAGCCGAGCAGCAAGGACCACGGAAUGGCUGCGGCGGUGGGGGGUACACCGACGAUGACCACAACGAAUUCUGCCUCAUCAGCUCCUACAGUCCUACAGUCCCACGCCGUACGCUGCUUCCUCUGGCACAACCCCGUCACUCACAGCAGGUAUACGAGAUGAGCCAAGCUUUUCUCUCCCUGAUACGUUAGAUUUCUGUCUAAAUUUGUGCUAUCGCACUGUACUUCUAUAGCACUAUUGCUUGCUAAAAACCAACCCUCACGCACCUCUAAUCAGUUCAGUUUAAUUUUCCUCUUUCCAAUCCUCUGAUUUACACAUUAAUGUUGAAUUCUAUUGGAAUCCUGAUGUGCCGCAACAUAUUGUGUACAUAUUUCUUUAGCUUCUUCCUCCUACGUUAUGCUUAUAUACUUCUUCAACAGUUUACAUUUCAGAUUGAUUUACCAACAUAAUUCGGGGUUAUAUAUAUGCACAGCCCUCUAUUCAACACGUCAUAUUUUCACUAGAUAGUAAUUAUCCAUUUUAAUGUGUAUUUAAAAGAAUUGGUACUAACACACUCAUUUGCAUUUCAGAGAAAAUAUUGUCUGAAUCAACUGAGAGAACAUCUUUGCAGAAAGGGCAUUCAAACUCAAUAUAUAAUGAGUACAGAACUAAAAUAUUCAUAUUUUCUUCGGCUGUCUGGAAUUAUGGGUUGAUUCCAGAUUGUGUUCAUACAACGUGACCAAAUUUGAGUAACAAAUAAAUGGGUGUGCAAUGCUUCCUGAAUUUUUAUGCCUAGCAUUUGCAGGGCAAGAAGCACUGUUUUUUGUCCAGUCACUGACAUGGCAUUGUGUAUUUGCUUGGUCAGAUUUCUUAAGUAGGAUUUGAAGGUCUCACUCGUUGUGCAGCAAUACCUCCAUGAACUUCGUAACAGGAGCAAUACCAUAUCUCGUUCACUUGUCAAUUCAAUGAGUCAUCAUGAGUGAUCUUUCCCUGUUUUAUUCAAAAUCAUAUCUUCCAGUGGAGCAAAAGAUCUUGAUCCAUAAGUUGAUCUUAUUUAUCUCUCCAUUCUCCAAUACUACAACAUGGGAUACCGGCACCGCGUGGCGAAGCCGCGAGCCUUUCUAGUGUGUUACGAAGCCAUGAAGUAUCUCAAAAAGGGCGGACCAGGGAGAGCGCCAUCCUCUGGUGGUCUCAUCAUAAACAUAAGUGCCACACUGCACUACACUGCGGCUUGGUACCAAAUUCAUGUCUCUGCUGCUAAGGCAAGCGUGGAUAGUAUCACCAGAUCAUUAGCUCUGGAAUGGGGAGCAGAUUAUGACAUUAGAGUCAAUGGAAUCGCACCAGGACCGAUUCAAGACACUCCAGGAAUGAGGAAGCUUGCACCUGAGGAAAUGAGCAAGGGGCGUCGAGAAACGACACCAUUAUUUAAGCUUGGAGAGAAAUGGGACAUAGCAAUGGCCGCACUCUAUCUGGCUUCUGAUGCAGGAAAAUAUGUCAAUGGGGCUACAAUUAUUGUUGAUGGAGGCCUUUGGUUAAGUCGUCCUCGCCAUAUUCCCAAGGAGGAAGUGAAGGCGCUCUCUAAGGUUGUCGAGAAGAAGGUCAGGACCUCUGGGUUUGGCGUGCCAUCCAGCAAAUUGUGAUGGCAUAUUUGGCUAUGUACCUCUUCGGUGUGUUCUGUACCUAUUGAUGUCACCACUCACCAGUAUUGUUGUCAGUUUGGUAAUGCCAGCUGAGCAGAGUCUGUUGACUGUUUAGUUGAGUAUGUUCAAACAUUUACUGUUGCUGUAAUCCCAAACGGACUAGAAAUUAAUAUCGGAUCCGAACUAUUGCCAAAUACUCACGUGCUGUCUUCCAAACCGUCUGUUCAAAUUAUCUAUGAAAAUGAAAAUGUUAUAUUGAAGAUCCAA